rnacentral:rRNA from 1 species
UGCCACGGGACGCAGCAGUGGGGAAUAUUGGGCAAUGGGCGCAAGCCUGACCCAGCAAUGCCGCGUGAAGGAAGAAGGCCCUCGGGUUGUAAACUUCUUUUAUCAGGGACGAAGGAUGUGACGGUACCUGAUGAAUAAGCUCCGGCUAACUACGUGCCAGCAGCCGCGGUAAUACGUAGGGAGCAAGCGUUAUCCGGAUUUACUGGGUGUAAAGGGCGCGUAGGCGGGAUGGCAAGUCAGAUGUGAAAUCCGGGGGCUCAACCCCUGAACUGCAUUUGAAACUGUUGGUCUUGAGUAUCGGAGAG